AAUACGUAAUUUUUUUGUUGGGAUUGCCCCAGUAACGGCGAGUGAAGCGGCAACAGCUCAAAUUUGAAAUCUGGCCUCGGCCCGAGUUGUAAUUUGCAGAGGAUGUUUCUGGCGCGGUGCCUUCUGAGUUCCCUGGAACGGGACGCCAUAGAGGGUGAGAGCCCCGUACGGUUGGACGCCUAGCCUGUGUGAAACUCCUUCGACGAGUCGAGUAGUUUGGGAAUGCUGCUCAAAAUGGGAGGUAUAUCUCUUCUAAAGCUAAAUAUUGGCCAGAGACCGAUAGCGCACAAGUAGAGUGAUCGAAAGAUGAAAAGCACCUUGAAAAGGGGGUUAAACAGCACGUGAAAUUGUUGAAAGGGAAGCGCCCAUGACCAGACUUGUGCCUGGCGGAUCACCCAGCGUUCUCGCUGGGGCACUCCGCCAGGUCCAGGCCAGCAUCGGUUUUCGCCGGGGGAUAAAGGCUCUGGGAACGUAGCUCCUCCGGGAGUGUUAUAGCCCUCUGCGUAAUACCCUGGCGGGGACCGAGGUACGCGCUCCGCAAGGAUGCUGGCGUAAUGGUCAUCAGCGACCCGUCUUGAAACACGGAUCAAGGAGUCGUCCAUUAGAGCGAGCGUUUGGGUGUCAAACCCGCACGCGUAAUGAAAGUGAACGUAGGUUAGAGCUUCGGCGCAUCAUCGACCGAUCCUGAUGUCCUCGGAUGGAUUUGAGUAUGAGUUUUACUGGACGGACCCGAAAGAUGGUGAACUAUGCUUGGAUAAGGGUGAAGCCCGAGGAAACUCUUGGGGGAAGGUCCCGAACGGUUCUUACGGGCAAAUCGAUCGGCCAAUAUUAAGCAUGGGGGGCGAAAAACUUAUUCGAACCUUUCCGGGCCUGGUACCGCAAAC
rnacentral:rRNA from 1 species